UUGAACGCUGGCGGCAUGCUUUACACAUGCAAGUCGAACGGCAGCACGGGGGCAACCCUGGUGGCGAGUGGCGAACGGGUGAGUAAUAUAUCGGAACAUGUCCGGAAGUGGGGGAUAACGUAGCGAAAGUUACGCUAAUACCGCAUAUGCCCUGAGGGGGAAAGGGGGGGAUCGCAAGACCUCUCGCUUUCGGAGUGGCCGAUAUCGGAUUAGCUAGUUGGUGAGGUAAAGGCUCACCAAGGCGACGAUCCGUAGCUGGUCUGAGAGGACGACCAGCCACACUGGGACUGAGACACGGCCCAGACUCCUACGGGAGGCAGCAGUGGGGAAUUUUGGACAAUGGGGGCAACCCUGAUCCAGCCAUGCCGCGUGAGUGAAGAAGGCCUUCGGGUUGUAAAGCUCUUUCGGCAGGAACGAAACGGUCGGCUUUAAUAAAGUCGGCUAAUGACGGUACCUGCAGAAGAAGCACCGGCUAACUACGU
rnacentral:rRNA from 1 species